rnacentral:rRNA from 1 species
GGCUUAUUGAUAAUAAUUUUAAGUCGAUCUGCCCAAUGAAAGUAAUUAAAUGGCUGCAGUAUAACUAACUGUACAAAGGUAGCAUAAUCAAUUGUUUUUUAAUUGAAAACUGGAAUGAAAGAAUUAAUGAGAUAUAUACUGUCUCAUAUAUAUUUAAUAAAAUUAAAUUUUUAGUAAAAAUGCUAAAAUAAAUUUAUGGGACGAUAAGACCCUAUAGAAUUUUAUAUUAAUUAUUAGAUUUAGAUAAAUUUUAAGAGUUAAUAUUUAAUUGGGAGGAUUAAUAAAUUUAAUAAACUUUAUUUUAAAAAUAAACUUUAAUUAAAGGAUAAAGUUAAUGAUCUUGUAUUAUAAAUUAUAAGAAAAAAUUACCUUAGGGAUAACAGCGUAAUAUCUUUUUAAAGAUCAGAUUGAUAAAGAUGAUUGCGACCUCGAUGUUGAAUUAAGAUAAAUUUUAAAUGGAGAAGUUUAAUAAUUAAGUCUGUUCGACUUUUAAAAUCUU